UGGGGAAUAUUGCACAAUGGGGGAAACCCUGAUGCAGCGACGCCGCGUGAGUGAAGAAGUAUUUCGGUAUGUAAAGCUCUAUCAGCAGGGAAGAAAAUGACGGUACCUGACUAAGAAGCCCCGGCUAACUACGUGCCAGCAGCCGCGGUAAUACGUAGGGGGCAAGCGUUAUCCGGAUUUACUGGGUGUAAAGGGAGCGUAGGCGGCAAGGUAAGCCAGAAGUGAAAGCCCGCGGCUCAACUGCGGGACUGCUUUUGGAACUAUCUAGCUAGAUUGCAGGAGAGGUAAGUGGAAUUCCUAGUG
rnacentral:rRNA from 1 species